rnacentral:rRNA from 1 species
UGAGGAAUAUUGGUCAAUGGGCGAGAGCCUGAACCAGCCAAGUAGCGUGCAGGAUGACGGCCCUAUGGGUUGUAAACUGCUUUUAUGUGGGGAUAAAGUGCGUGACGUGUCAUGCAUUGCAGGUACCACAUGAAUAAGGACCGGCUAAUUCCGUGCCAGCAGCCGCGGUAAUACGGAAGGUCCGGGCGUUAUCCGGAUUUAUUGGGUUUAAAGGGAGCGUAGGCUGUCUAUUAAGCGUGUUGUGAAAUGUAAGAGCUCAACUUUUAGAUUGCAGCGCGAACUGGCAGACUUGAGUGCGCACAACGUAGGCGGAAUUCAUGGUGUAGCGGUGAAAUGCUUAGAUAUCAUGACGAACUCCGAUUGCGAAGGCAGCUUACGGGAGCGCAACUGACGCUAAAGCUCGAAGGUGCGGGUAUCGAACAGG